rnacentral:rRNA from 1 species
CCUACGGGAGGCAGCAGUAGGGAAUAUUGCUCAAUGGGGGAAACCCUGAAGCAGCAACGCCGCGUGGAGGAUGAAGGUUUUCGGAUUGUAAACUCCUUUUGUUAGAGAAGAUAAUGACGGUAUCUAACGAAUAAGCACCGGCUAACUCCGUGCCAGCAGCCGCGGUAAUACGGAGGGUGCAAGCGUUCCUCGGAAUCACUGGGCGGAAAGAGCGCGUAGGCGGGAUAGCAAGUCAGAUGUGAAAUCCUAUGGCUUAACCAUAGAACUGCAUUUGAAACUGUUAUUCUAGAGUAUGGGAGAGGUAGGUGGAAUUCUUGGUGUAGGGGUAAAAUCCGUAGAGAUCAAGAGGAAUACUCAUUGCGAAGGCGACCUGCUAGAACAUAACUGACGCUGAUGCGCGAAAGCGUGGGGAGCAAACAGGAUUAGAUACCCUAGUAGUC